rnacentral:rRNA from 1 species
GACGAACGCUGGCGGCGUGCUUAACACAUGCAAGUCGAACGGAAAGGCCUCUUUCGGGGGGUACUCGAGUGGCGAACGGGUGAGUAACACGUGAGUAACCUGCCCUUGACUUUGGGAUAACUUCAGGAAACUGGGGCUAAUACCGGAUAGGAGCUCCUGCUGCAUGGUGGGGGUUGGAAAGUUUCGGCGGUUGGGGAUGGACUCGCGGCUUAUCAGGUUGUUGGUGGGGUAGUGGCUUACCAAGGCUUUGACGGGUAGCCGGCCUGAGAGGGUGACCGGGCACAAUGGGACUGGGGUACGGGCCAGACUCCUACGGGGGGCAGCAGUGGGGAAUAUUGCACAAUGGGUGGGAGCCUGAUGCAGCAACGCCGGGUGCGGGAUGACGGGCUUCGGGUUGUAAACCGCUUUCGCUCAUGACGAAGCUUUGUGUGACGGUAGUGGGUAAAGAAGCACCGGCUAACUACGUG